rnacentral:rRNA from 1 species
UACAGAGGUCCCAAGCGUUGUUCGGAUUUACUGGGCGUAAAGGGUGCGUAGGUGGCGAGGUAAGUUUGAUGUGAAAUCUCCGAGCUCAACUCGGAAAUGGCAUUGAAUACUAUCCCGCUUGAGGGUCGGAGGGGAGACUGGAAUUCUCGGUGUAGCAGUGAAAUGCGUAGAUAUCGGGAGGAACACCAGUGGCGAAGGCGACUACCUGGCCUGUUCUUGACGCUGAGGCGCGAAAGCUAGGGGAGCAAACGGG